ensembl:lncRNA LINC02345 long intergenic non-protein coding RNA 2345
AUUCUUCUGCAGGCAAACGGAGUCGCCAUAUGACCCAGCCCUGGUCUUGCUUGGCUUUCUGGAUGUUCUCAACCUUGACAUGACUCCUUAUUCUCCAAUUCAUUUGGACCUCAAGACACUACUACUCUGGCUACAGCCGCCAGGCAUUAAAAAGAUGACACAGAAAAAUUACAGAGUCAGCAUAUAUUUGAAUACUGGAUAAAAGGGAAGAGGAUGAAAUGGAUUUUUCAAAGCUUCUAAAGAAAACAGAACUAGCUGUGUAGCAGACUCCUCUUAUAAACCUCUGCGAAGUUCUACUUGAAAAGCUGUGGUUUCAUUUCAAAGGAAACCAGCAAUCAGGGGGAUCUCUACAGGAAAAUCUCUUCCCUAUGUCUUCUUUAGACUCUUCAAAAAGGAGAGAGAGCA